rnacentral:rRNA from 1 species
ACGUAGGGGGCAAGCGUUGUCCGGAAUCAUUGGGCGUAAAGCGCGUGUAGGCGGCCUUGUAAGUCCGUUCUGAAAGCCCGGGGCUCAACCCCGGGAGGCGGAUGGAUACUGCAAGGCUCGAGUCCGGAAGAGGCGAGUGGAAUUCCCGGUGUAGCGGUGAAAUGCGCAGAUAUCGGGAGGAACACCAAUGGCGAAGGCAGCUCGCUGGGACGGUACUGACGCUGAGACGCGAAAGCGUGGGGAGCAAACAGGAUUAGAUACCCUGGUAGUCCACGCCGUAAACGAUGGACACUAGGUGUGGGAGGUGUCGACUCCUUCCGUGCCGAAGCUAACGCAUUAAGUGUCCCGCCUGGGGAGUACGGCCGCAAGGCUA